GGCAAUGAUGGUGUAAUUUGCGUCUGACCCCGUGAUGAGCGACAGUUGCCUGCUGUUUCUAUGCUGUCACGGGCGCUUGAAGACAAAAAGAUGUCUGAGCA
ensembl:snoRNA SNORD16 Small nucleolar RNA SNORD16